AUUCUAUCUAAUUUUAGCGAUAAGGACACGUGUACCAUCGCCGUAGUAUGGUUCAUGAGCUGCUAUAUGGCGCACGAUCAGGGAGAAGAACCACCAAACUCCACCACACGAAAGGCGAUGUCUCGUGCCAAUAAAAGCAACAUCCCUCUAGUAAUUUGUGCAGAUGCCAGUGCUCACCACUCUAUUUGUGGAAGCUCAGAUACAAACCAAAGGGACAACUUAUUUCCACAAAUUAAUAGGAGCAUCAGAGGACUUAAGAUUCUGCGGGAUAUGUAAAAUGGUGAAAAGACUGGUAAUUUAUGUAUAUGAUUACUAUAUUAAUAAAAUUAAAAAUAUAUACCUAUAUAUUAAAAUAUCAAUAAA